rnacentral:rRNA from 1 species
GACGAACGCUGGCGGCGUGCUUAACACAUGCAAGUCGAACGGUAAGGCCCUUCGGGGUACACGAGUGGCGAACGGGUGAGUAACACGUGGGUGAUCUGCCCUGCACUUCGGGAUGAGCCUGGGAAACUGGGUCUAAUACCGGAUAGGACCACUGCCUGCAUGGGUGGUGGGGGAAAGCUUUUGCGGUGUGGGAUGGGCCCGCGGCCUAUCAGCUUGUUGGUGGGGUGAUGGCCUACCAAGGCGACGAAGGGUAGCCGGCCUGAGAGGGUGACCGGCCACACUGGGACUGAGAUACGGCCCAGACUCCUACGGGAGGCAGCAGUGGGGAAUAUUGCGCAAUGGGCGCAAGCCUGAUGCAGCGACGCCGCGUGAGGGAUGACGGCCUUCGGGUUGUAAACCUCUUUCAGCACCGACGAAGCGCAAGUGACGGUAGGUGCAGAAGAAGGACCGGCCAACUACGUGCCAGCCGCCGCCGUAA